AUUGGGGGUGCUUUCAGAGAUAACAUCUGUGAACUAGUGAAAGAAUCAGAAUCAAGCCAGAGGAAGAAAUUGGUGAACAAUGCAGUCACAAUACAGAAUGCUUCCACAGGAAGCCCUGGGGUUGAGCUGGCCCCGUAGAGUUAGCCCCAACUUGGAUAAGAGGGCUGUACCUUUGAAUUCCACAUUGACUUGGCAGAUGACCCCUAGGGAAGGGUUGUGAAGUCCAGCAAGACAGCUCCCUUUAGCAGCUGAAGGAAAUGCCAAGGGAGAGACUCAUGUGUGAGCCAUUGGCAGCCAACACUUCUGGCAACUUCAGGGAUAAGCUCCUUGG
rnacentral:lncRNA from 10 species